rnacentral:lncRNA from 1 species
CUCCACUCCCUGCAACAGAUUUCAUGCAGCUCCACCACUCUCUGGCAAGUCCCGACGAUGGACACCACUCCACUCUCCGCAACGAGCUCCACGUGGCCCUGAAUGACCCCUGACGCCACUACUCUCCGUAACAAACUCCACAUGGCUCUGAGCGGUCCACUACCAGAUGGUUACAGACAUCGCUGUCAGUCAGUUACACCCUCCAUCUAUAAAUAAGGAACCCCC